rnacentral:rRNA from 1 species
NGACCUCAAAUCAGGUAGGACUACCCGCUGAACUUAAGCAUAUCAAUAAGCGGAGGAAAAGAAACUAACAAGGAUUCCCUCAGUAACUGCGAGUGAAGUGGGAAAAGCUCAAAUUUGAAAUCUGGCAGCUCUUUCAGGUUGUCCGAGUUGUAAUCUAGAGAAGUGUUACCUGU